rnacentral:lncRNA from 1 species
GUUUUGUUUCAAACUAGGACUCAGAAGAGAAUUUGGGGGUACACAGAGAUGCCCAGUGGAAAGAGCAAGUGCUCUGGGGGAGAUAGACAGCUGGGACCUCAUCUAUUUCCUGACUAUCACUCACCUUAUGAUUAUAGUUUGUGCAUGUGAGAGAAUAUGACUUUUUUUUCCCCCUCAAGUAGUUGGCAGGGAACUCAAACAGCACUUCACUGUAUUUCCUGGCUAUAGGACAUUCAUUCAUUCAUUCAUUCAUUAAAAAAAAAAAGGUCUCCAGAGUGCCAGUCCAUUGCUGAGUCAUGCUACAUGCCGAGAUGCAGAGAUGAGUCAGAAAUUAUAUCUUUCCUUAGGAGUUUCCCAUUUCAGAGAGGGAGGUGGACACAAAGGGUAAAUUACAGAGCGUGUGGGAAGUGCUACUGGUUGACGUUUGUGAUGGACAGUGUGCUUGCAGAAGAGUGGGUCACCUCCUUCCCUAGAGACUCGGGGCCAGUUGGAGCCCCAUGGCAGAGAUUCUGAGUGUUGUGUGACCUCCUGCCUUUCAUCUAUCCAUGCUGCUGAGUCUCAGCCGUGACAGUCUCUCUCUUUAAAAAAUGCACUUGCAGUGUACAUAGAACUUGUAAGCUACUUGCUCCGUGGAGUCCAGAGAAUGUUGAACAGUAGUUGAAUGAGUGAAUUAUUAAGUAGGUAGCUAGCAGAAGUAAGAGAAUAAAUAGUGAGCGGCAGACGGAGAAAAGCCAGAGCUGGGUAGCAAAACAUCAAGUUGCGCCCUCUGCAUCCAGCAGAGAUGACUGGAGGUAGAGCGGUUGAUAGAACAACCACAAGACUAGAUCAACCCGAGGGCUUACAGGUAUGCAGCUGAAAUCCGCCGGGGAAGCCCCAUUGAGGUAGUCAGUUGGAAUUCCCAAUCAUGGGUCCCAGGUAGCUUGGGCUUGUCUCCUCAGGUCAAAGAACAAAUAGCAACAGAUAGAGAAAGAACAUAGUCAAAUUGGGAGUUCCCAACUGGCAGGAUCCUAGGCCUGAGGACCCUCCCCAUCCACUCCAUGGAGGAGCUUCAAGUUCAGUUAAGCUGGUUGCAAACAGUCUACCUCCUAACUGUCCUCAAGGACAAAAUGUGCAUAACGCCCACUGUGGCUUACUGUUUUGCUUAUUACAGAGUUAAGGAGUCAGCCUUCCCCAGGAGCAGGAGUCUUGGAGGAGACAAUGGAAGGCCUCCCCAUGCCCCAGAGUCAGCUUUCACAGGCUUAAGCAGCACAGGACAGUUAUAAUACAUUAUAACCAGUAUAAUAUAUGCCACACUGUCUAAACUCAUUUUGGAAGAAGAGCUGUUACAUAUAAACAAGAGUGUAAGCAUUAGGCAGGCUUUAGAACAGUUACAUGGGAGCUGAGCAGUUACACAGGAACUGGGUCUGUUAGG